ACCUGUGUCUGUCAGUUCCUUUCCACUCGCCUCCUCCCUUGACAAACUGGCUCAUGUUUCUGCCUAACACUCUAAGCCAGUUAUUAAUAACAGCCCAGUGAGCUCUGUAUCCACCAAGAGCAUAUGGUGUUUUUGAAAGGAAGAGCGACCAUUCCCGUGACUUUGGACUUGGCCCGUCGAACCCCUGAACGAAACCAGGGUUGCUAGGAGAACACCUGUGCCCACAGCACUUUUGUUCAAAGAGAGCAGAAGAGAGUUGGAAACAGGUCCAGCUGUGCUGACUGCAACCAUCUGAGGAUCUCAGGGAGCAAGAAUAUUGGAUAUGAGUGG